rnacentral:rRNA from 1 species
AUGGACACCUUUUCUCUUCGUGUAAGAUGGUGGGCCGGGUCUAAUGAUGAGCGUGCACCCAAUUGCAAGAGGGUGGUUGAAGAUGUCCAGAAGAACUCGGCGGCUGGCUAUGGAGCUAUAAUGCAUGAAAUAAUUCUUCGUGCAAACUCUUUCCAUUCAUGUGGGUCCGGUUUUGGGAUGGUUGGUUCUCUUCAUCGCUAUCACUAUCGCUGCCUCUUCCUUCUUCCGUUCCCAGCGGCGCUCGCCCUUCCUCCUGCCAUCUGUGACCCGAACCCGCUGUGGCGCGCCCUUCACAGGAGGAGCCAGAGCCCAUCUAGAUGUAGUAGCCCAACCCAAUACAUGACGAGGUGCUUCAUGGAGCAAACGCCACCGCCGGACGCCUCCUCCAAUCAUGUGUAUCUCCUGCACCUCCUGCCGCCGGUGUUAAUCAUCUACAUACCUGGGCAUGUUCACCGCCGUUCUGGACUGAGCGUCGUCGUUGUUCCACAGGAGGCGAUGGAAGGGUGGGAGGAUGUUGCAUGGACGGAAGAUAUAUUCCCCAUGCCAUCUGACGCAGGAGAAGUGAUGGACCUAGAAAACCUGGUGGACACCCUCUCCCAGAUGCCCGACGAGACCCCAUGGUGCUCGAUGGUGAGCCGGACAAAUUCAGCGGUGGUGCCGACUGCCAAGGAUGCACGAGAGACGGAGCCGUCUCCAAGCAAGGAAACUCGGGGGGUGGUGGGGCGGUGCUUCGAGAUCAUGUUGGAGCUUUCAGAGCUGGAGUAUGUCACUUCUUCCCUAACAUGGCGACGCCUGAAGCCUCUGAGAUUCUUGCUUGCCGGCGUGAUGUUAAAACAACCUGGAAGGUGCCUGAGUGAUGUUGGCCCGUGGAUUCAAGAGAUAAAGGAGCUCCUCAACUCUUGCAUGGAAUUUCGCGUCGAGCGGGUGCAUCGUUCGGCAAAUGUUGCUGCGCAUAAAUUCGCUAAUGUAGGUGUGGGUGAUGAGCUAUGUAAGGUAUGGUUAGGGGCUCCCCCUGACUUUGUGCUUGAUGUAAUUGCUGAUGACAUUCCCAACUUUGCUGGCUAA